AGGUGCUGCACGGCUGUCGUCAGCUCGUGUCGUGAGAUGUUGGGUUAAGUCCCGCAACGAGCGCAACCCUCGUCACUAGUUACUAACGGUUCGGCCGAGGACUCUAGUGAGACUGCCUUCGUAAGGAGGAGGAAGGUGAGGACGACGUCAAGUCACCAUGGCCCUUACGGCCAGGGCUACACACGUGCUACAAUGGGGUAUACAAAGAGCCGCAAUACCGCGAGGUGGAGCAAAUCUCAUAAAAUAUCUCCCAGUUCGGAUAGCAGUCUGCAACUCGACUGCUUGAAGUUGGAAUCGCUAGUAAUCGUGAAUCAGCAACGUCACGGUGAAUACGUUCCCGGGUCUUGUACUCACCGCCCGUCACACCAUGGGAAUUGAAUUCAUUCGAAGCGGGGAUGCUAAAGUAGCUACCUUCCACAGUGGAUUUAGUAACUAGGGUGAAGUCGUAACAAGGUA
rnacentral:rRNA from 1 species